AACCGGCUGAGCUCUUUUCGCCCUGGAGUAGGGGGAUCCUGUUUUUGUUAUUGAUAAGUUCUGGUUGUCUUUUGGACAGCCGCUUGCAGGGGAGAGAUCCAGCACAAUUGCAAGGAAAUGUAUUUCGUUUUUUGGAAGUUUAGAAAGUGGAACAAAAAAUGAUUUGUCUUCCACAUCCAUUAUUUAUGUAGGAAAAUGUGUCUAUUAAGAAGAAGGAAAUUCUUUAGGAGAAGGAAAUCACUUCAUUUAACUGUUUAAUUUAAUAGAUAUCCACAUAAUGAAGAUGCUGAGAGAUAGACCUGAGGACAAAGAGGGGGAAGGAAGCUCCAAGAUGGAGCUACUUGUGACCCACGGGAAUCUAAGGCCUGUUUCACUCAGAGAUGUCACAUUAUGGCUUGUGCCGUUUCUAGUGCACUAGGAAACCUCCCAGAUCCUUUUGAACAUGCGAAGCUAAAAAGUAAAGAGUCCAGUCAGAAAAGCCUAACAGGAACCUGCCAGAUAACUUCACCCCAGUGGCGCUCAUUAAAGGGGGUGACUACAUUGGAGGACCCUGUACACUUCCAGGGAAUCCCAGUAACAUGUUUAACUGAGAAAUGACAGUUUUAAGGAACUGAAGCCCCCAAAGCAGAUCCAUUUUCUCAGUGAUGAAUACUUCAGUAGCUACUGGAGCCAGGACAAGUGGCUUCUCAGGAACCUCAUGAGCCCCCAACAGAAUUCAGGGCUGCUAUUAAAAAAGAAAGACAAAUGGAUGCUGGGAGAUGCCCAAUGUUGACUGCGAACUGUGAUCCAGGAAAGCUGAUCUUCUCAACCUGUAACCACAAACUCAGUGGUCAUGUUUCCAGUAAAAUAGGCUUUCACUCAUUUGUCAAAUAGAUAUUAAACACUCAAUAAGUGCCAGAAACUGUGCAGGGGGACAGAUAAACAAUCUGAUACACAAGACGAGACCCAUCUGCUAGGGAAGACAGACAAUUAAAGAAAUCACCAGCAUAGGUUAAAUGCCACCACAAAGGAAGUACAAUGAGCUAGAACGGAAGCAUAUAGCAGGACCCAGGCUUCCAGAAAGAAGAGAAAUUCCAUGGGUGGGAAUUAGCAGGGUGAAUUGGAAAUAAGAGUGGUCAGGCAAGGCAAUGUCUGUGAGAUGGCCCAGAGAAGACCAUGAGAGCUUUAAGGAACUAGAGACAUCAGUAAGGCUGAAGUGCAAGGAGAAAGUAGUGGUGAGAGGCACAGCUGACCAGAAAGAACUGGGGAUUUGGGAUUGGAUAUGACUUAAGAUAGGAGGAUCUGGAGGCUGUGACAGCAGAACAGAGGGAAGGAAACUGAUUAAGAGUUGUUUAGGAAGUACAAUUGACAGGACUUACUAUUAACUGAAUAUGGUAAAAGCUUAGAUGACUGACGUUAGACUUUUCUUUGCCAAUAAAAGCAUGAAAUGCUAUAAAUAUUUCUCAAAUCACUGCUUUAGCUAUAUCUCAUGGUUUUGACACAUUAUAUUUUCAUUUUUAUUCAGUUUAAAAUACUUUCCAAUUUCUGUUUAGAAGCUUAUUAAUUUCCAAAUAUUUGUGGCUUUUCCAUAUAUUAUAUCUUUCUCUUAUUGCUGUUUAGUUUUAUUCCACUGUGGUUAUCUAUUUUAAAUUUAUGUAAGCUUAUUUUAUAGCCCAAUGUAUGAUCUGGUGUAGCAAGUGUUUUAUGAGCACUUAUGAAAAUAUGUAUUCUGCUGUUGUUGAGUAAAGUCAUCUAUAAAUGUCAAUGAGGUCAAUUUGA